rnacentral:rRNA from 1 species
GAUGAACGCUGGCGGCGUGCUUAAUACAUGCAAGUCGAACGAACAGACCCUGCGCUUGUUCCGUUCACGAUUGCCGAACAGGGGAGUGUAACAUGUGUAAAAUCCACCUAUAUUUCGGGGAUCACUUCGAGAAACGGGCGAAAAUAGCGUAGAAUCUAUUGCACCGUAUGGGGGAAUGGUAAGAGACGGCUUUGCUGUCUGUUCUAGAUGGUUCCGCGCCGGAUGAGCUGGUUGGUGAGGUAACGGCCUUCCACGGCGAGGAUGCGUGGCCGAGCUGAGAGGGUGAUCGGCCACACGGGAACUGAGACACGGUCCAGAGUCCUACGGGAGGCAGCAGUAGGGAAUGUUCCGCAAUGGGCGAAAGCCUGACGGAGCAACGCCGCGUGAGUGAUGAAGGUCUUCGGAUCGUAAAACUCUGCUAUGAGGGAAGAACAAAUGUGUAAGUAACUAUGCACGUCUUGACGGUACCUAAUCAGAAAGCCACGGCUAACUACGUG